rnacentral:rRNA from 1 species
UACGUAGGCACCAAGCGUUGUCCGGAUUUAUUGGGCGUAAAGAGCUCGUAGGCGGUUCGGUAAGUCGGGUGUGAAAACUCUGGGCUCAACCCAGAGCCGCCACCCGAUACUGCUGUGACUCGAGUGCGGUAGGGGAGCGGGGAAUUCCUGGUGUAGCGGUGAAAUGCGCAGAUAUCAGGAGGAACACCGGUGGCGAAGGCGGAUCUCUGGGCCUUACCUGACGCUCAGGUGCGAAAGCUAGGGGAGCGAACAGG